rfam:Rhizobium sp. Leaf306 contig_5, whole genome shotgun sequence.
CACCAGGACCGGGCCCCUCUGGCAGUUCGCAGGAACUGUGAUGUCGGACUGGAUUG